GAGUUUGAUCCUGGCUCAGAUUGAACGCUGGCGGCAGGCCUAACACAUGCAAGUCGAGCGGUAGAGAGAAGCUUGCUUCUCUUGAGAGCGGCGGACGGGUGAGUAAUGCCUAGGAAUCUGCCUGGUAGUGGGGGAUAACGCUCGGAAACGGACGCUAAUACCGCAUACGUCCUACGGGAGAAAGCAGGGGACCUUCGGGCCUUGCGCUAUCAGAUGAGCCUAGGUCGGAUUAGCUAGUUGGUGAGGUAAUGGCUCACCAAGGCGACGAUCCGUAACUGGUCUGAGAGGAUGAUCAGUCACACUGGAACUGAGACACGGUCCAGACUCCUACGGGAGGCAGCAGUGGGGAAUAUUGGACAAUGGGCGAAAGCCUGAUCCAGCCAUGCCGCGUGUGUGAAGAAGGUCUUCGGAUUGUAAAGCACUUUAAGUUGGGAGGAAGGGCAGUAAAUUAAUACUUUGCUGUUUGACGUUACCGACAGAAUAAGCACCGGCUAACUCUGU
rnacentral:rRNA from 1 species